rnacentral:rRNA from 1 species
CCUACGUGACGCAGCAGUGGGGAAUAUUGGACAAUGGGCGAAAGCCUGAUCCAGCCAUGCCGCGUGUGUGAAGAAGGCCUUCGGGUUGUAAAGCACUUUCAGUGGGGAAGAAAGCCUUGGGGCUAAUACCCUCGAGGAAGGACAUCACCCACAGAAGAAGCACCGGCUAACUCCGUGCCAGCAGCCGCGGUAAUACGGAGGGUGCGAGCGUUAAUCGGAAUUACUGGGCGUAAAGCGCGCGUAGGCGGUCUGAUAAGCCGGUUGUGAAAGCCCCGGGCUCAACCUGGGAACGGCAUCCGGAACUGUCAGGCUAGAGUGCAGGAGAGGAAGGUAGAAUUCCCGGUGUAGCGGUGAAAUGCGUAGAGAUCGGGAGGAAUACCAGUGGCGAAGGCGGCCUUCUGGACUGACACUGACGCUGAGGUGCGAAAGCGUGGGUAGCAAACAGGAUUAGAUACCCGGGUAGUC